CAAUUACCAUAAAUUAACAGUGUUGUUUAAAUUUCAACAUAUAAGACGCUCGAAAAUGACAUACUUCCUUAAAAUGAGGACGUUUACAACAUUGGAUACUUCCUGUACCAUGCUAUAUAAGAUUGACGCAAUGUCCGGGAUACGACCACUCCACCAUGGAUAAUUUGGUAGUGAUCGCGAGCGUCCUUGUAUUCAGCGGGAUCACCAGCGCAAUCAAUGUCACAGUGUCGGAUCUCCGGUCAGGACAAUUCCUGACGCGCUGCGUCACACGACAUGCCGACUUCAUGAAUAUCACCUGUCCCAGCCACAAAGUGAUGCUGGCACCUAAACUCAUAGCUGGGUACUCAGACAGCAGCAAGUGCGUUUUUAAUGGAAAUGAUUGUCUGGGAAUGAGUAAAUCACUGGAAAGGGAGACUCAAGCAUGCGCAAACCAAGAGACUUGUUCUAUAAAUUUACGAAGAAUUCUGGAGACACUUGUUCCCUUACCGGGACAGAGAAAAAUAUGCAAGGGGAAACCGUUGACAUAUGUGUCUGUCAUUCCCCCAAAAUGUGUCGAUAAAGGUACCAUACACGACAUGUGUUCGGGAAACGAAGCCCUACCCAUUAACCCCGACAGUGGUAUUAUCAGUAGCUACAACAACCCUGGACGAACCAUUAACACACCAUGCAUUAGACGUUUUGGGAGUACGAGUGACGUCAUUAGGUUAUCACUCAACUUUUUGGACAUUCAAAUUGGACUUAAAAAUCGACCUAGAGUAGUCUGGACCUCAGAGAGCGGGGAAUUAAGAAAGAAAACAUUUAAAAAACUCGCUACUUUUUCCGAAAAGGGUUCCAAAUUUGAGAUAAAAUGGCGCCCACAAAACACUGACACAACACGUGAAGGCUGUGUUGUAUACUAUAAUGUGAAAGUUAUUGGAAAAUCGACGCAAGGAAACCUUCGCUUAGCGAGUGACCAACCGUCGCAGACUCCAACGCAUUAUCUCGUACAAGCAACGUUGAAGACUAGCAUGACAUGGAAUGACAAGCAAUCCAUUUCGAUGUCCUGUCCUCGAGGCAAAGUUAUAUACGCCCCGGAUGUAACCGUCACCAGCAGUAGAUAUACCGGAUGUGAGGGACUUUCUCCGCACCUUCUCGUGCAGCGUAACGAGUGCUACUGGCGUAGAAAUUGUACAAUGGAAUGGCGAGGACCAGCAUUCCUUACAAUGACGUCAUCAGCUCGCUGUUUUGGCCGUGUUGCUGACAUCUUUAAAAGCAGAGGCUUCAAAUGUGAAAAGGAAGGCAACAUUAUUAACAUUUGUGACACCAGAGUAGCAAAAUUGCCGACCGGUAUUGUCCGCAGCCACGGCAAAUAUCCCUGGCACUACCCCAGAGUGAACAAAAGAUGCCGACAGCGGAUUAGGAUAGGACGUGGCCGACAGCUGACCCUCCAACUGGACGACGUCGACAUAGACGAUGAAAGGGACACCUUCUUCCUAAGACAUAUCAGGAAAGGGCGAAAAACGACCAUUUUAUUCAGAGGCAAUGAUGGGAACAUGUCGAAAACUUUGUCAGGAGGUACCGUAGAGAUUACCUUCUCGACAAAACGUCGAUCCAAGGCAGGGUCGGGAUUUAUACUCCAUUAUGAACGAACGUCUAAAAAUAGAAAAAAGGUUAGGAGUGGCGAAAGAAACAAGCGACGUUCGAGAGGGACCGGUACAGCAAAGACAUUACCGUGAUGAUGACGGUGACUAUGAGAGAACGUGAAGUAUAUGUAUUAAAUUCAGGACUGCUUCCAGUUGGCAUUGAUAGUAAUUCACCCUGGAAAGGACAAUUUCUAUUUCCAUAAGCAUUUUAUUGCUUCAAUAUAUGUACUGUAGAAUGAAAAUGACUUCGCUGUAGAAAAGUUUGGUUUUUCGUGUACGGAAUCGGUGACACACACACAGAAACACUAAACACUUUAUUGCAUAAGCAUUGCCAACAUAAACGGGACUGCAUCUCGAAUAUUUUUGUAGAGCCACAACUUGAACUCUUUUGUCAACAACAAUAAUACAUAUAUUUAUAAUUCCAUAAAUAGUCAUACACAAUCGAUACGGACAUUGCAAGAAAAAUACUACAUUUAUAAGUAUGUCACAACCGUACAACGCGGUGGCAGAAUGUUUAAGGCGUCCGACGGUCCUCAUUACUAUAGCCCUCCACCACUGGGUCGCGGAUCGGUGGAUUUCUCCGAAAACUCCGGCUUUUCUCGACCUCAAUACCUGGCACCUCCUUAAAUAUUUAUAAGACGAGACAAACAAAACAGAACAAACAAAUAACAGCCGAAAUCGACAGGUUAAAAGUAAUAGUAUGAUGAUUUCACCACAAAAGUACAGAUAGACAUAUUAAACAGUGGUACAAACGUUAUCACAGUAUAUCUAUAUUUAAUAACGGUAGUACAUCACAACUUCCAAAUUUGAUUUUCAAACUUUUUAGGAUUUUUUUUCGAAAUAUUGGUGUCGGAAAACGACAAUAUCAUAAGAUUGGUAUACGUAUGUCACAGUCGGACAAGAUUUGCUUACAGCAAUACAGUAGAUAACCAUGUAUGUAAGAGUUAUAAAUGACCGUCUCACAACAGACUAUGUACAGAACUUACACCAAUAAUAAUAUAUAUUACUUGUAACAGGUUAUUGAUUUUUUAUCUCGCACUUUUUAGUUCGAAAAAAAAUCAAUUUCGCUAAAGACUACAAGCGUCCCGUCUCGGGCCUCAAAUACAUAUGGCCUCUACACUCCUAAAGUUACAUUUGAAUGCUUCCGUGUAAAAUAUUGUCCGCCCUAACAAAGAAGACAAUUCAUUUCACAGUGUAGAUUCUAUUUAAUCGAGAACAUCAGGAAUCUAACAACAUCAAAAUAAUACUUUUAACGACAAAACAGAAUAUUUCUAAUGAACAUUAUCAAUUUCGAGCAUUAAACGCGCAGAUGCUUAAAUCGCUGCGUAAAAGUUCCGCGAAAUGUCGCAUAUAGGUACUAGACAAAUAAGACGAGAUGGAAAAAAAUCUAGCAUGGGGUAUGACGUGGGAUAUCUCUAUCUGAGGUGUGAGAAUACGAAUAUCAUAGACCCCGAACGUCCGUGUACACUCCUGUUUUGAAUGUUGCGUUUCGCGGGACAGUAUAUGUUUCAUUUCACUGAGGUACCAUUUUAAAUAUUGACUGAUGUCUACAUGUAGACGUUUAAAGAGACACUUGGUGUUUUCUCAUUUUUUUAAUGAUAUAUUUUCUUUUUGCACAUUAGCAGUAUGUAUUUUUUGUGUGUGGUUAUUUAUACGAUUACGUAGCAUAACUGUUCUCACAAAAAUACAUACUUUUAUAAAGGUUGUAUAAGAUGUUGUUGUCGCUCUUGCUGCUUCUAUAAUAAUAAUAAGAAAAUCAUUAAUGGAUAUUACACUGUAGACAUAUAGAUUAUGACAUUGGCUCUGACUGGAUAAAUGUAUGCCUUUUAUAAAUCCUUCUGUGUUCUGUAUACACAAACAUGUGCAAUAGCUAUAUUUUGUCUCUGCAUUUAUCUGUCGACACACAAUAACAUUUUUGUUUUGAUCAAGACACAUAUCAUUGUGUUAUGUAUGCUUGUUUUACGACGAUUGUAAAGAGGAUGAAGAUGUUAGUGUUUGUGUAUUCGAUAGAGAUACAUUGUAUAUUAGAUGUAACAGAAGGCUGUCCGCAAUUACAUCAAUCAUACAUCACAAUUCCACAGGUACUUCAAUAUGUGUUCAAUUACAUGAUAUCGACUUCCCUACAUUUGUUAUUUAUAUGAAAUAUCCACAUGUGUUUAUAUCGGAGCGGCAUUAUUUGUAAACUUUAAGUAUUUGAAACUUACACUGUAGUGAUUUAUGAUUUAAAAUAGGAACCAUACACAUUUAUAUAUGUAUUUUCAAAUAUGGUGUGUAGGUGUAGUUUUGCAUUUGUGCAUACAACUGAGAAUUAUCGAAAGGAAAUAAUGCACGACUAUUUGGAUGAUUCUUCUAAUUUGUGUUAAUUUAUUAAUUUAUUCAAAACACAUGCAAAUGAAUAAUCGAAUAUUGUAUCAAAUAAAAAAAAAAAAUGUC
rnacentral:misc_RNA from 1 species